AGAGUUUGAUCAUGGCUCAGAACGAACGCUGGCGGCGCGCCUAAUACAUGCAAGUCGAACGAGAAUGUGUAGCAAUACACAUGUACAGUGGCGAACGGGUGAGGAAUACAUGGGUAACCUACCCUCGAGUGGGGAAUAACUAGCCGAAAGGUUAGCUAAUACCGCGUACGCUUCCCGGACUGCGGUCUGGGAAGGAAAGCGAUACCGUGGGUAUCGCGCUCUUGGAUGGGCUCAUGCCCUAUCAGCUUGUUGGUGAGGUAACGGCUCACCAAGGCUUCGACGGGUAGCUGAUCUGAGAGGAUGAUCAGCCACACUGGCACUGCGACACGGGCCAGACUCCUACGGGAGGCAGCAGUAAGGAAUAUUGCGCAAUGGGCGAAAGCCUGACGCAGCGACGCCGCGUGGGGGAUGAAGGUCUUCGGAUUGUAAACCCCUUUCGGGAGGGAAGAUGGGAUGGGGUAACCCAUUCGGACGGUACCUCCAGAAGCAGCCACGGCUAACUUCGUGCCAGCAGCCGCGGUAAUACGAAGGUGGCAAGCGUUGUUCGGAUUUACUGGGCGUACAGGGAGCGUAGGCGGUUGGAUAAGCCCUCCGUGAAAUCUCCAGGCUUAACCUGGAAAGUGCAGAGGGGACUGUUCAGCUAGAGGAUGGGAGAGGAGCGCGGAAUUCCCGGUGUAGCGGUGAAAUGCGUA
rnacentral:rRNA from 1 species